GAGUCCCUGAUUUCACACUGCCAAGAAAAGCCUCUAGCGAGGCGGGAGGUGCCCGUACCGCAAACCGACACAGGUAGGCGAGAAGAGAAUUCUAAGGUGAGCGAGUGAACUCUCGUUAAGGAACUCGGCAAAAUGACCCCGUAACUUCGGGAGAAGGGGUGCUCUGGUAGGGUGUUACAGCCCGAGAGAGCCGCAGUGAAUAGGCCCAGGCGACUGUUUAGCAAAAACACAGGUCUCUGCAAAACCGUAAGGUGACGUAUAGGGGCUGACGCCUGCCCGGUGCUGGAAGGUUAAGGGGAGUGCUUAGCGCAAGCGAAGGUGCGAACUGAAGCCCCAGUAAACGGCGGCCGUAACUAUAACGGUCCUAAGGUAGCGAAAUUCCUUGUCGGGUAAGUUCCGACCCGCACGAAAGGCGUAACGAUCUGGGCACUGUCUCAACGAGAGACUCGGUGAAAUUAUAGUACCUGUGAAGAUGCAGGUUACCCGCGACAGGACGGAAAGACCCCGUGGAGCUUUACUGCAGCCUGAUAUUGAAUUUUGGUGCAACUUGUACAGGAUAGGUAGGAGCCAGAGAACCCGGAGCGCCAGCUUCGGGGGAGGCGUCGGUGGGAUACUACCCUGGUUGUAUUGAAAUUCUAACCCACGCCCCUGAUCGGGGCGGGAGACAGUGUCAGGCGGGCAGUUUGACUGGGGCGGUCGCCUCCUAAAGAGUAACGGAGGCGCCCAAAGGUUCCCUCAGAAUGGUUGGAAAUCAUUCGCAGAGUGUAAAGGCACAAGGGAGCUUGACUGCGAGACGUACAGGUCGAGCAGGGUCGAAAGACGGGCUUAGUGAUCCGGUGGUUCCGCAUGGAAGGGCCAUCGCUCAACGGAUAAAAGCUACCCCGGGGAUAACAGGCUUAUCUCCCCCAAGAGUCCACAUCGACGGGGAGGUUUGGCACCUCGAUGUCGGCUCAUCGCAUCCUGGGGCUGUAGUCGGUCCCAAGGGUUGGGCUGUUCGCCCAUUAAAGCGGUACGCGAGCUGGGUUCAGAACGUCGUGAGACAGUUCGGUCCCUAUCCGUCGCGGGCGCAGGAAAUUUGAGAGGAGCUGUCCUUAGUACGAGAGGACCGGGAUGGACACACCGCUGGUGUACCAGUUGUUCCGCCAGGGGCAUCGCUGGGUAGCUAUGUGUGGCCGGGAUAAGUGCUGAAAGCAUCUAAGCACGAAGCCCCCCUCAAGAUGAGAUUUCCCAUUGCGCAAGCAAGUAAGAUCCCUCAAAGACGAUGAGGUAGAUAGGUUCGGGGUGGAAGCG
rnacentral:ncRNA from 2 species